AGUCAUCUUUGUUGACAUUCAUAUGUAAAGAGCAUCAGGGAUUAGCGUGCGAUUUAUUUUCAGUGUACGACCUUAUCACAAAGUACUCCAGAAGUCAAGUUUCGCCUUUUACUAACGUAAACAACAAAAAGGGCGUAUUCCUCAUUCUAUUUCGUUUUGAUAUAAAGUAAAUUUCGCCCUUAACAAACAUCCUACUUUUUAAUAGUUAGAAAAGAGAUACAUUAUUUUUUCGAAGUUUGAAGUUUGUUAGAUUCGCCCUUAUCACGAAGUACUCCGGACUUGAUUUUGUGCUGUGAACUGAAACGCAAGUGUAUUCCACGUAGAGAUUCCCGAUUAAAAAUCCUGAAAAUAGAGGUGUCACACGCUAUAUUUGGUGCAAAAACGUAAAUGUCCCCUACUAAAGGUUCCUCUGAGGACUUCCGGAUGAAAAAUAGCCAUUUCUCGAUGAGUUCUUGGCCGAUUCUGGAUCUUGAUGAACCAUUCGCUUCAGAAAUGAUUUUGUAAUCUUUGCCAAUUAUGCUAAUAAACAUUUUUAUCAG